CUGUCUCUUGUAGUUGACCAAUGAAACUGAUCUUGUAGUCCAAAAGCUACAAUAAAAACACCAGACGAGAAGACCCUGUGGAGCUUCAAACCAAAACCAAAUUAAUGGCCCCCUUGGUUUUUAGUUGGGGCAACUUCGGAGUAUACACCAACCUCCGACAAAAAACUAAGACAAACAAGUCUAAACAAUUUACUCGACCCAAUAGUUUACAAUAAACUACUUGACCAAUGAACCAAGUUACCCCAGGGAUAACAGCGCUAUCCCCUUUUAGAGUCCCUAUCGACAAGGGGGCUUACGACCUCGAUGUUGGAUCAGGACACCA
rnacentral:rRNA from 1 species